ACAAUUCCCAGCUGGCACAUCUACAACACAGCUUCUAUACCUGAGGUUGAGUGAAUGACACAGGAGAGACAGCAGAAAGAGCCAGGGUUAGGGCACGAGCUGUGUUUGGGAAUACAGACAGUGGCUCAAAGCUUCUCCCAAAAUUUCCUCAGCUCCCAGGAGCCUCUGGGGCUGACCUCAUUUCUUUGGACUGCUGCUGAAAUGCUGCUCUGAGGUUGUGUGCAUGGCAGUCCUAUCAAUUAGCCAGCUUUCUCUGCUAAAACAGAAAUGGGCCCUCAAGUGAAAUGCUUUCACAAAGGCUAAUUGUGACCUUUGUAAUACAUGCAUGCACCUUGUGUUUAAGUGUGUUUCCCAAUCCAAAAUGUGUUCCAAUGAGCAUUACUUAUUCUUCCUAACACUGAGAAGAGAAGCCGCCUGGGAUAUCCUGCCUACACCACAGCAUCUCUCCAGGACACAGUAUCAUAGGCAGCUCUGAGAAGCACUAUGGGAAGAUCACCAGGCAUCUGCUUAAACAUUCAUGUUAACCAUCUUUGGCCAAAGUAGCUUCAACACAGAACACUGUUUGUGGAACAUAGCUAGCUAAUACCAUCCAAUCAGCAGAAAACCAAGGAGGACUUCCUGUGUUCAUAGCUUAAAUCAAUUAUACAUGCACACACACAGGCACGCACAGAGAGAGAGAGAGAGAGAAAGAGAGAGAGAGAGAGAAAGAGAGAGAGAGAUUUACAUUUUAAUAUAAUUGUUACAAAUAGUACUUAAAUUUUAAAGGCGUUAGUGGUUAAACACUGGGAAUUAUUUUUUAGAAAAUGAAACAUAGUUUAUGGCAUUUAUCAUAUAUUUGUGUGGAAGAGUGUAAACAAGAAAGAUGUGUAAAGUGCUUAGCACGGAGUCCAGCACACAGAAAGUCUUAUUUAAGAAAUAAGAGGAGAAGGGCCUGAGAGAUGGGUCAGCUGGUAAAAACUCUUGCCACCAACCUAGUGACCUGAUCACUUGAACCCAUGUGAUGGAAGGAGAGAACUAACUCCAGAAUGUUUUCAUCUGAUACACACACACACACACACACACACACACACACACACAUACACACACAUACACACACAACUUUAAGUAAAAGUUUUGCAGAGAUGAGCAUCAGUAAAACUGAUGUUCACCAUUACUCAUGAAUUUAGGAGCCAUGUCAGAAAGUAGAUAAAACAAAAGGGUUUGAAACACAAAAAUGGACAGGGUCCAUUUAUAUAUAUGGACAGGGACUAUAUAUAUAGUUUACUGAGCAUGGUACAUGGACUAGCUAAACUUAGGUGUUUUCUUUUAUGUCAUUGACAAAAUAUAUAGUAUAUAUAGGGCUGGGUAGAUGGCUCAGUAGUUAAGAACUCACACUACUUGUGCAGAGGACCCAAGUUUGGUUCCCAGAGAGUAGCAGCUACUUUGGGUGAUUUGCGACCACCUCAAUGUACCUCCAGCUUCAAAAGGCUGUGAUGCCUCUCGCCUCAGGAACAUCACCAUUCAUGUGUAUACACUCCCACAGAGAAACAUAGGCAAACACAUGAUUACAAAUACAUGAAUAAAAUAUCUUUAAAAUGCAGACAGUAGAAGUAUCUGCCUCACAGAGCUGUCAAGUAAAGAUCUUGCAUAUAUUUCAGCUUAAAAAUUAAUUUUACUAAUCAUUACAAUUAACUUUUUAGGAUUAACAUUAUCAGUAUUUCAUUAUUUAUUGAUAUCUUUAUAUUCAGUUUUCCACACUUACUCUGAACUAUUAGAAUAUCAUCUUAGGAGUAAAGUGCUGUGUCAAAAGGUAAAAACCACUGAUUUCAAAGCUUCUUCGGAAUUGCUUUACAGAAAAGUUGUCUUAACAGAAAACUUUCUCCUGUCAUUGAACAUGGGCCGGGAUGACCCCUGAGUCAUUGUCAUCUUCACCAUUCUUUGGUGAGUCCUGAAGAUAGGCAUUUUCAUGUCACAGCCCUCAGAAGUUCCUUGUUACUUUCUGAUUUUGCAGUGCUUAGGACUGGACCUAGCAAUGGAUGGCCCACCCCAAAACUAUAUCACCUUAACCCCUGUUUACAUUUUUCAUUUUGAAACACUUUUGCUAAGUUGAUCAGGGUAGCUUUGAACUUAUGAUCUUUCUGCCUCAGCUUCCCCUGUUUAAUUUUUCUCUAGCUAUUUUUUCUCAAACAUUUUGUUCAUUAAAAAAUAAAAUAUAAACCUUUUUCUGGUUAGUUUACUGUCUAAAUCCUUUAUAUCUUAGUUCAAUUGCAUUGAAUAAUUUGUCAAAAUUAUGGUAAUUUUAAAUUCACAUUUAUAUAAUCAAAUCUCUUGUGCUUGGCUUAUAUGCUUUGGGGUAUCCUGUUAAUACCUCAUUCACCC
rnacentral:lncRNA from 1 species